GAAACUGCAGAUUUUAGGUUUCCUGUGCCAGGCCAGUUAGAUGCUCCAUGAUGUAUAUGUUUCAGAACACAUCUAAAAGAUAAUGAACAACUUCACAGGCCUGUUUUGGUUUGGCAUUUACAUUAAAAAAAGAAUCUUCUUUCUUGCUAGCAUCUUUCAUACAAAGAAAUAGAGAGAUGCAACAAUGUCAAAAGUAGGAUUGAAGUUGGGUAGAUUAAGCAGAAAUACACCUUUAGAUGUCAUGUAAUCAUUGAAUUUCAUUUAGGC
rnacentral:lncRNA from 1 species